AGUGAACGCUGGCGGUAGGCCUAACACAUGCAAGUCGAACGGCAGCACAGUAAGAGCUUGCUCUUACGGGUGGCGAGUGGCGGACGGGUGAGGAAUACAUCGGAAUCUACUUUUUCGUGGGGGAUAACGUAGGGAAACUUACGCUAAUACCGCAUACGUCCUACGGGUGAAAGCAGGGGAUCUUCGGACCUUGCGCGAUUGAAUGAGCCGAUGUCGGAUUAGCUAGUUGGCGGGGUAAAGGCCCACCAAGGCGACGAUCCGUAGCUGGUCUGAGAGGAUGAUCAGCCACACUGGAACUGAGACACGGUCCAGACUCCUACGGGAGGCAGCAGUGGGGAAUAUUGGACAAUGGGCGCAAGCCUGAUCCAGCCAUACCGCGUGGGUGAAGAAGGCCUUCGGGUUGUAAAGCCCUGUUGUUGGGAAAGAAAAGCAGCAGGUUAAUACCCCGCUGUUCUGACGGUACCCAAAGAAUAAGCACCGGCUAACUUCGUG
rnacentral:rRNA from 1 species